rnacentral:snRNA from 1 species
AUUGUUUUGGCGAUAAUAAACUUCCCCUUGUGUAGUACCUGUUCUUAUCAGCUUAAUAUCUGGUAUGGCCCUAUGAUGGGUCUUUGAUAUUAACUUUAUUUUUGGAAAGCGGCGCCGUGUACGGGGCUUGCCCUCACGGCGCCACGGGUCGUUCCGGCGUUGCACUACAGCCGGGCACGGCCCACUGUCG